rnacentral:rRNA from 1 species
GAUAUUAAGGCAGCUACACAUGCAAGUCGAGCGGUAGAGAGGAGCUUGCUUCUCUUGAGAGCGGCGGACGGGUGAGUAAUGCCUAGGAAUCUGCCUAGUGGUGGGGGAUAACGUUCGGAAACGGACGCUAAUACCGCAUACGUCCUACGGGAGAAAGCGGGGGACCUUCGGGCCUCGCGCCAUUAGAUGAGCCUAGGUCGGAUUAGCUAGUUGGUGAGGUAAUGGCUCACCAAGGCGACGAUCCGUAACUGGUCUGAGAGGAUGAUCAGUCACACUGGAACUGAGACACGGUCCAGACUCCUACGGGAGGCAGCAGUGGGGAAUAUUGGACAAUGGGCGAAAGCCUGAUCCAGCCAUGCCGCGUGUGUGAAGAAGGUCUUCGGAUUGUAAAGCACUUUAAGUUGGGAGGAAGGGUAGUAACUUAAUACGUUGCUACUUUGACGUUACCGACAGAAUAAGCACCGGCUAACUUCGUGCCAGCAGCCGCGGUAAUACGAAGGGUGCAAGCGUUAAUCGGAAUUACUGGGCGUAAAGCGCGCGUAGGUGGUUCAGUAAGUUGGAAGUGAAAUCCCCGGGCUCAACCUGGGAACUGCUUUCAAAACUGCUGAGCUAGAGUACGGUAGAGGGUGGUGGAAUUUCCUGUGUAGCGGUGAAAUGCGUAGAUAUAGGAAGGAACACCAGUGGCGAAAGCGACCACCUGGACUGAUACUGACACUGAGGUGCGAAAGCGUGGGGAGCAAACAGGAUUAGAUACCCUGGUAGUCCACGCCGUAAACGAUGUCAACUAGCCGUUGGGAGUCUUGAACUCUUAGUGGCGCAGCUAACGCAUUAAGUUUGACCGCCUGGGGAGUACGGCCGCAAGGUUAAAACUCAAAUGAAUUUGACGGGGCCCCGUCACAAGCGGUGGGAGCAUGUGGUUUAAUUCGAAGCAACGCGAAGAACCUUACCUGCCUUGACAUGCCUGAGAACUUUCUAGAAGAUAGAUUGCUGCCUUUCGGAGCUCAGAACACAGUGCUGGCAUGACUGUCGUCAGCUCGUGUCUGACAUUGUAGGUAGUCCGGUAACGAGCGCAAGCCAUGUCUUAGCUUACCAGGCACGAUAAUGGAGUGGAAACU